GUGGGUGCCAAUAACACUGAUAGACCCAGACUUCUGGGAACCUCUGGUAUACAUCAGAUGCCAGGCUGCUCUUUGAGUGCUGUACAACAUUAUUCUCCCUGCGUCUUGGCAAGGAAUAAGCCACAAAAUUCAGGACUGGCAUCGGACUUGGAACUUCUCCAAAGAUUACCAAGAUGCAGCGGGUCAGUGUGUUCUGAUCAUCUUCAGCUGUCUCCAAGUUAAUUUUCCUCAAGUUAAGUCUGCUUUGACAGUACAAUAAUUGGCAUUUAGGAAGCAUUCAUUUUCCAUGUAGGAUCCACAAAAUAAAUUCUUGGAGGCAGUCUGGACAUCUCAUUAUUAUUAGUUAACACAAUGUCACCAUUAUAGGCAGGAAUCUUCGGAGUACAGCUUUUGACUUUUAAACCUCCCAUUGACCACCAGCUGCUGCCAUUUCUGAUAGAACAUGCACUGCAGCAAUUCAUGUAUCUGUCAAAACAACAAACACAAGAAGAACUCUGACACAGAGUCAGAAGACUGUGAAGUAACAGUCUAAAGUAACAGGGAAGAUGAAGGGAUAGUAGUUAGCUUCCCUUGCAAUUUUCCUCUUUGUCCUUGUAGUUUAGGUAUUAAAAACCACCAGAAUAAUCUUUCUUCCUCAAUUCAAGCUAAAGAAAGAUGAAUCUUUCUGUCUGCUAUAGGACCUUGAAUUAGCCACAUUUUUGUGCCACGGAAAUAACAGAAGACCUUUGGAUGCAUAAAGCUAUUGCUUCUUAGAGUAGAAUCUGUGUAACUUUUAACACAGUGAAGACUCAGAUUUGCUGGGUGGAUGGAUUAAUAUAAAAGGUUUUCUUAUCAAGUGUUUCUCCUGAGUCCUUGCAAAGCCAGUCAUUUUCUCUCAAUUACAUUCCAGCACCUUUCAGUAGUUUCCAAAGCUCAAGCAAACCACACUCAGCCCCCUUUUUCUGCCCUCUCAGAUGUCGCGCUGUGUUUUGUUGUUAGGAGGCUCCCAUCUGCCCUCGAGCUGCCAGCUUGCCAUCUUCCUCACCCCCUGCGUGCCUUGUCCCAAACUCCAGACACUGCCUUGACCCUGCUCUCUUUGCCCUGUGGCUGGGCAUGCAGCAAUCACUAAGUAAAAAGUAUAUCUAAUACAAAUUUAUUCUGUAUAAACAUCUGCAUUUGGGUGACUCUUGCUGCUGAAGUUAGGCGUCAGUACCUAGAACCAUCUGUGUCUGAAAGGGGUGGCACAGGGCAUGAUGUGUUGCCACAGGGGAGUGAUUGAGGGUUCUGCUUACUGCAGAACAAUGUUUAGAUUUCUCAAAGAAAAAUGUGACUUAAAAGACUUCAGUGGCAGGUUCACUCUGUCAUUUACUGCAUGGAGGAAAUAUGCCAAGCCGAACACUGCUUGCCUUCUUUCCAAGAGCCUAAUAUCCAUUAGCAGAGCAAACUUUUAGGACGUUGCCUGCCUGAUAACCGUUCGCUCCGGAGUCUGUAUUUUAGAACUAUGGAAGCAAACUGUCAGGUGAGGCCUGAUAACUGUAUGCAGAGCAGACUUUCACAAAACAAAAUUCUAAGAAAUAAUAAUAAUUAAAAAAAAGUAAUGGAGUAGAAUAGCAGGAGUGCUGGCUCAAUCUGGGUACUUGUGCAGGGUUCCAACAUGAGUAUAGAAAACCAUAGACUUUUAUAUCUCUACAGACCAUUCAUACUAUAAUUCAGUCCAAUAGCAAUAUUCCACUUUCGGGUCUUCUUGCUUCUCAUUGGAUCUUUUUCAUUGAUCUUGUAUGUGCCUUUGUUUGGUUUAGCUGUAGGUAUUGUUUAUAGUCCAUAGCCUUGCAGGUGCUGCUCUCUCUGAAUAAAUUCUUUUCUUCUCAAUGAAGUGCAAAACGGGCCCCGGGUUGCAGAUAUCUGUAAUGUCUCCGCAUUAGCCUUGAAAUCAUUAUUUUUUCCCCAGUCAAUUCCAUUCUUUCUAGCAAAGUGCAAACUAGACCUUAACUCGCAAGUAUUCAGUGUAGUUUGUAGUUGCUUUUGGUAAAUAUGAGCAGAACUUCACAGCUUAGGAUUUCAGCAAAUCCAGUUUACUAUGUACCAUGAAGCAGGGACUAUGUUAAAAAUCAUACAACCUUAUACUUCUAGAUGAUUCAUUGUAUUUAGUAUGCAUUUACUCAAGGUGAAUGAUCGAUAUGAAACUUAAAUUGGGCUCAUCCACUGACCUGUGAGUAGUAAAACCAUCACCAUUCAGCCAACUUGUUUAGCAGAGAGAGCUCACAGUAGGCUUACCCAGGCUUGUCAUAUUUAUAGAAUAAAGUGGUUGAUGUAGUCAAAUUGCUCACAGUGGGAAAGGUCUGCGUGAGACUCCUUGUGCCCACAACUUACUGGUGUUCCGCUGCUGUUCUGCUUCCUUGUGGGUUUCCUAAAAGGAGUUCUUGGCCCCGCUACAGCUCAGGCCUUUCCCUUCUGUGUAACUUGAGCCAAACAGCUGCUGGUUUGGCUGGCGGAGGGGUCGAGUGCAUCUGCCACAUGUGUAUGCAGUUGUUCUUAUCUUAACUGGUGCCAUUUUGGUGCAGGGUAAAAAGCAGGAAUUGGCAUGAAUGUGUAAGCAUGGCAUUGAUCCCACAGUUGCAGCUCAGGUUCCCUUUUCUCAACACAGCUGUCUAGUGACACUUUACUUCACAGUACUUGAUAAACUGAAUUCCAUUUUGUAGUACCAGGACUCCUAUAGAUGCUGUCCUGCCCAGUUCUACUUCCUCGUAUCUCUGAUAACAAAGAUUUUUUUCCUUUUACUUUGUAUGUCAUGUUUCUUUGCUUCAUUGCAAAGUGUGUGUAGGAGGCCUGUGGACUCUUGGGAAAACAGACAGUAUGUAUGGCACAGUAAAAUCAUAGUUUGCUGUGACCAUAGAGAAGUAUGAAAAAAACAUGCUUUCCAGAAUUAAGCCGACUACUGUAUUUGUAUUUGCAGUUAUUAUAUGGAGUGCUAUGGGUUAAUACCAAAGAAACAGUAAUCAGCAAUUUAUGAUAAAAGGAAAUCAGAGUUUGGAUGAUUAGAUGCACAGCUUCAAAUUCCUUGGACAUUUUAUCCUUCUUCAAUUAGAUUUCUGUUUCAGAAGACUAGAAAUUGUAUUUAAGAUUAAGUAAUUCAAGCAAACACAAUUCACUGUUGUUUUAUCUCAACUACCAGAGGAAAUAAUAAUGCAAUCCCUCAUUACUUUUAAUAUGUAAUUUCCAAAUGGAUGAAAUCCAGGACAAUGCUAUUACACUGAAAUGAAGGAAUGCACUUAUCAUUGUGGAGAAGCAUUUGAAUACACCAGGCAAUAAACACACACACACACACACAGGAUUAUGCUGCAAUUUAAAUGUUACAACUUUAAAACAUUGAUAUUUCAAGCCAAUAUACAAUAGAUGGACACGUUCAGUAAUGAGACAUUGUUGGUCAAUCUGCUAGAAAACCAUCUUUGCAGCAGCUUUAGUAUCAGUAAGGAUUUUUAGGUAGACAUCACUGAAAAAUAAAUUUUUAAGGAUAAUUUUAAAUGGUACUGUCAGAUUUAAAGGGCCCUAUAAGAAAGAUGGGGGCAGACUUUUUAGCAGUGCCUGUUGCCAUAGAACCAGAGGUAACAGUUUUAAACCAAAGGAGGGGAUAUUCAGGCUAGACAUGAAGAAGAAAUCUUUUAAAAUGAGGGUGGUGAAACACUGGCUCAGGCUGCCCAGAGAGGUGGUAAAUGCCCUAUGCCUGGAGACAUUCAAGGCCAGGCUGGACGGGGCUCUGAACAACCUGAUCUGCUUGAAGAUGUCCCUGCUCAUUGCAGGGGGUUGGACAAGAUGACCUUUGAAGGUUCCUUCCAACUCCAACUAUUCUAUGAUUCUAUGAAAUCUACUAGACCUUAUAUAAAUGCCUGAAGAAAUAAUUUACUAAUCCUAUGAGGAAAUGAGAGACGAAUUAAUGUGUUCAAAGGUGUUCUUAUUACCAAGAGGAAACAUAUCCUGGCACACAGAGCACCACGAAUGUUGUUCCAGUGUGCCAUUUGCUGGUAUUCCAAUGGAUUAUGGAUUGAUGCUUUGCCCAAAUAAAUAAAUAAAUAAAUAAAUAUGAAAGUUAAUGAAUACAACAAAUGCAAUGUUAAAUCUGCUGACAUUGUUACUGAAGAGAAUGUUUGGGACAAUGAAGAGUUCUUUCUUGACAUUUCAGUCUGUAAUUGUGUAUAAAUAUAAUUUUAUUUGGGCUAAGCAUUAAAAUAACAUAUCCCAAGUUGUUUAGUAACUAUAAAUAUUGGUAAGAAGGAUGAUGAUUUUUUCAUGGUGAACUGAUUUUUUUUAAUUAAAAAUGAAGCAGUAAGGGGUCAUCUAAGAGGAUGAUGCUUAUUAUAAUAUAUUUAUGAAUUACAGGAAAAAUCAAUGAGGUACCUUUGUGUUUCUAUUUUAUCUUGGUCCAAAGGUGUGCUCCUUGACUACCUUCUCAAAUGUUUCCCAUACCACUAUGCUUGUGUUGACUUUGGGAGAUAUUUUAAUACACUUCACUUUUAAUUUUUCCAUUUAUAAGUUUAGUGACACACCUCUAAGUGUAGAAUUCAAGCUAGCUUCUUUUUUUCUCAGUAACAUAUAUGUUAAUAGGACAUCAGUAGCAUGGGUGAAGCUGAUUUUUUUCAUACUGUAUUAUAUGUUAUAGACAAAUUGAUUUUAUGACACAAAAGUACUUUUCAACAUGCUUGGGUAAAGCCAUAAAAAAGCUAUACAUUCUUAGUAACAUGGCUAUAAUGUGUUGUGCCUUGUGUGUACUGCAUAUCUCGCUGCUUUCUUAACAUUCCCUCAAAACGCUGCACUUACGUAUUUUGUGGAGUUUGUAGUCUCAUUUGUCCUUCCCCAUGGUUGCUGACAAUGGGGUAUCUUAUACACAACUUAUGCUUAUUUUAAUCCUAUUUAAAUUGCCUUUUGUUUGUUUUAAAGAGGUAGCACUUUCUAUAUGCAUGCUUGAUAGAUGACACAACACCAGUUUUAUAGACACCAGUCUUAUUUGGCUCAUCGCAAGUAGAUGCCACAUCACAUGUGUUCUGUCAGUUACAAGCAUUAAAACUUCCAUUUCAUUACACGAUCUCAUGACAACAUUUUCUGUUUUCAAAACUGUUGAUGAAAGACCUUCCCAUGGUGGCCUUUUGUACCAAUUGGUCUCAAUCAAAACACAUGUACUAUUUUUAGGAGAAGACGACAUAUUUCAAUCUACCACAUAGCAAGUUAGCUAUUUCCUUGCCAUGAAAAAUCAUCAUCUGCUAUGUAUGAAAUAACAGAUAUUAGAUUACAGGCUAAUAAAUCUCACUUCCGGGAUAAUAAAUAUUCACUUUCUUCCUGUCCUAACUUCUUGGAGAUCUUUGCCAAAGUAAUUUGGACAAUAGAUAUAAUAAGUCUGUUAAGACAGGCUGUCAAGUGGUAAAUACCACAAAGUUACCUACAUUCCAACCAGCACUCUCAGAAUUAAAACUAUACAUAUGCACUUACACCUCAAUAUUCUAGGGCAUGAGGUGAUAUCUUUUUAUAUAUAUAAUAUAAAGACUAAAGAAUACGCAAAUAAUUCCAGAGACAAACACAGUACUAAGAAUGUGUUUUGGCAAAACUGUGUGUUUUCUUUCACCUCGGUUGGCCCUGAGACCAGUGUGAGAAUCCCAGUGUUCCCAAGAGUUUAAUCUACCCAUGGAGUCAUGAAAAUUGUGCCAGCAAAAAAGAUCACCUGCGUUUCCGCUGACUUCUAUUUUCUCUGGAUAAUAAAUGUCAAUAUAGAACAUCUAGUACCCAUACUAAAACAUUUAAUACACUUCUUUUUGCUUCUUACAUUCAUGAGUAUAUUACCUUUCCUGAGGCAAAUAAUAAUUUGACCAAGACAAGUUUAGUGUCAGAUCUAAGCUGGAGCACUCUUUGACACUAAUGUCUCUUUUCAGAGAUCUUCAUCUUAUCUGUGUCCAUGGAUCAAGACAUUUCAUGGAAACUAUUUUUCCUGAGGAAAAAUAAAGGGAUGACUGAUGCAUGAGACACUCAGCAAAGAUGAGGCCUAGAUAACGAGACCCACUCAUACAAAAGAUACAUACUUCAGAAGGAAUUACAAAAUUUCUUUCUCUAUUUCAGACUUCAUAAAUAACCUUUUUCAUCUUUAUGACAGCAGCUUUUACGGACUCUUUUGGAACUAUCUUCCUAGACAGAACAAAAAACAAAUAUAUUUAAUCUAUUUAGAUUGUGUCACUAAAUUGGAGGCAUUCAAAUUCUGUACUGUUAGGGGCAGAUCAAUUUGUUAAACAACUGCAGCAGAUGGAUUGACCAAUAGGAAAAUGCUUGACUGUUUCCAUGCUGCCACUAAUUGGAUGUCAUCCCAGGAAACGUUUGUGCCAGCCUCUGACAGAGACUUUCAAACUAUAUUCUGCUCUGGAGUUUUGGGGUUUUAAGAAAAUGCUGUCUAAACUUCAAAUCCAAAAAUGUACAACUUAUUUCUCAAACUAUUUAAUUUUCAUUGAUUAAUUGUUGGAGCAAAUCACAUAAGCACAUUGUAAAGAAGCAUAUUCACACAUGCCUUAUUUUGUAUACAGUUUGAACCAGGUGGUAUAUUUUUUUUUUCCAUUAAAUGGCAGUGGUUUUAAAAUCUGCUCCCCUUUCCAUAAUUCAAAAAAAAGUCUUUGAAAGCUAAAAAAACAUUAUGCCCAAUCCCAAAGGAACACGUGUCAGAUCAGUGAAACUAUAAAGUAAGGUUUAUGUAAUAGGAAUUUUGAACAGCAAAAUCAGUAAAAAGUGAAGAGGAUUUUUAUAACUUUUUGAAAAUGUAUGGAAUUAAUGUGUCAGACUGCACCUUGCCUUCUGUCUGAGAAAUUCAAGCUGCAGUCUGAGUGUUAAUUUGCCUUUCCAUUUAGAUAUGAUACAUUGCCCUGAAGUAAAAAAAUCUGAAACAAGACUAUACUACCUUUAUCAUUGUAACAAUCUGUGUCCACCUCUGAACAGCAAGAUUGUCAGGCAACCUUAUACAUUCAGCAUUGUAAAUAGAGUUGAUGACCUCCAGCCUCAAGAGCCCAGACCUCUACCUGUGUUGAUUGCAGGGUGACAAUAAAACCGUGGCAGAUGUAUUGUUAAUCUUCUCUCCCCCCAGCUUCCCCCUUCAGCCCCUCCCUCUCCCCCCUUCCCACUAAGGACAGGCAAUUGGGAGGGAAAGAAGGACAGAGGGAAGAGAGUUGGAAAAAUUAAAAAUGUUUUCCUAAUGCUACUAAUAAGAAUAGAGAAAAUAAUACAAAAUAUACAAAAACAACCUUGAAAGUCUCGGCAACUGCAGAGCCGGCACCCGAAGUCCUGGAUAGGACUCUGCAGCCAACCGGAGCUGGAUUCAGUCUGUCACUAGGCCUCAGUUCGCAGGGACGACUAGCAAGGUCCUCUCCUAAUGUCGACCAUAAGCAAAAGGGAUGAGAUCCUCGUGAUCUCACACUUUUAUAUGAAGUAUUCGCGUGAAUGCAAUGUUAUACUCCGUUGGUCAGUUUCUUGGUCACCUGUUUCUCGUUGCCCCUCUUACGAGAUGUGAAUCUGUCCUUAUCAAUAACCUCGCAUUACAUUGCUAUGUUUACCACAACAUGUAUCUGGUUCUCCAGGAAAAUGCAGCUAAUAUGAAGGCUUUAGCUGACAGGCAAAUUCACUAAAAGAGCUAAAGAAGUGACUUAGGAAAUAAAAAAUGAAUUUCAGUGACUUACCUACGUACACACAGCUUUAUUCAAAACCGAACAGCAUAGAGAUAGACAGAUAGAGAAAAGAGAAUGCCUAGCUCAAGGUAACUACAUUAAAAAUACCAGGUCUCCCAUGGUCCUCAUCCAAAACCCAGUGGAAGCUAUUAAACCCUACUGAUACCCUUUUUGCAGUGAUGGUCCUCGGACUGUGAUCUUGCACAGUCAGAAGGCAAUGUAGUGAUGUACUUUGUCAGUAUUCAAACGAGUAACUUCUGUGGAAAACAAGGAUAUGAGAGAAAGUGUUUGUGACAAAAGCUAAACUGAGUUGUUCUUUGGUCAGAAAAAACGGCAUGUAAUUAUUCAUUUCUCUGUGGCUCACUUACCUGGGAAAUGGAAACGACCUGUGAAGAAUGCCGAAAAUGUUUGUUUAUUUUUAAGAAUGGCCUGUGAUAGUCCCUACAUGGACUGUGUACAAGACUCAAAAGCAACAGAAGGGACAAAAAAAGGCUGUACGGUCUUCUGGUACUUUCUCUCCUCUUCUAGUGGUUAGAGGAAGUGCUUACAGCCAAACAUAUCUUGGUCCCAAGAGAAUAUCUGUUCAAUAUUCAGUUUUUCAGGGAAUAUCUGUUCAGUAUUCUGUCUUUAUUCCAGGGUUAACUGGAAGAAAAGAUUUCUUUUUCUUUGUUCCCUUCCUUGGCCUUCAGUUCUUAGUCACACAUGCACUUUUUUGUUUUCUCUGACAAGCUGCUCUUCAAAAUCUACAGAGAUCCUAUACUUCAAGGCAGCUGGGAUUUUCAGCUGAUGCAUGGUAGAGUCAUCUAUUCAUACAGACUACAUAGUGACUCACAGAUGAACUCAGGAAACCUGGUUUUAAUCCCCAGCUUUCUAGAGAAUUUAGGCAACAGAUUUCUGUGUACCUCGGUUUCUACAACUAUCAAAUGAAAAUAAUAAAUACUUACUGUAUAGUGCAUAAUACAAAUGAAUUAAAAUGUGAAAGCCAUGAUACUGCCAAGUAUCUAAGCUGAAGCUUUGUACAGUUGAGCACAGAAUUCCUGUAUUGUACACUGUAAUGUCCAAUACUAGGUCAGGCUGGUCCUGAGAAAAUUCUUUCUGUGUUCUUGGACAUGAAAGUAUAAUUAAGGACAGAAGCAACAAAGAUACACAAAAGUGGAACACAAACCUCUGUUAAAAAUCAAGCCAAACAUUUCUACUUAUAACCAAAGCAUCUUAAAAAAUGUCAAAUAGAAAGCCAAGUCUUAUGAUUUUACAUAAAAAUCAUGGUAAUCACUAGCAACCUGGAAAGGAAGUUCGGGAAUAAAUCAGUUUGUCAGCCAGGCAGCCCUCAGUGAAUUUUCCUGAGGCCAAGGAUGCACAUGGCUUAGAGAAACCCAUUUUGUUCAUAACCAGGUCUGCUGAAGCGGAGCUGCAGUCCAAGUAGCAACAAGGUCACCAAAGGUUAUUUGUCACUCUUUCCCAACAAGCUGUUCAGACUUUUCAACAUUAAUAUGCCAGUAAUAUGUCAGUACUGAUGUAUCUCUCUCACAUCAUGGUUUGGUAUAAAUGAUAAUGUCACCUGAGUUGAAAUACCUUGGCCAUCUGUACACCUUUCUCACAUUCAUUCUGUCUUCUCUGGAAUGGAUACAUCUGGCAAAUACUUACGCAUCCUUUCACUAGCUACAUAUUUUCAGGGGAGAAAUAAUGUUACUCCACAUCUCAUGACUGUACAUGGAAGUCCUUUUCAAUUCUCCUUUCAACCUGAAAGCCAUUCUCUAAAAUAAGCAAAUUACAGCUACGAUGAAAGUAUCUUUUAAAAUCUCAAUGUUUUGUCUUAAACAGUUAAGAAAACUAAUUAGUGUCAUAAACUUCAAAAUGAUGAUUGUAUAUACACAGAUAAGCAGAUUCCUGAUAACUAGUUUAGCUAUGUUUACCUGCGCUUUAGAUUGGAAAGCUGCCACUUAAAUGUUAAGAAAUGCCAAAAUUAAAGUUGCCCAGACAACAUCAGUUCUCCUCCUUGUAUAUUUGCAUAUAAUAAAGCAGUUAACUACAUAAUUUUGUGUGUGUUUGUUUGCUUGCUUGUUUUUCCACAUUGGCCCUCUAUCUCAUCCCAGAAACAGCUGAACAUAUUCUUUUAUCUUCUUCAGUCUAUAUGUGACUCCACACGUUAUUUUUUAUUUACUGUCCACUGAAAGUACGAGAGUAUAUUGAGAUUAAACUAAAAGUGAUAACUUUUUUAUUGCCAAGGUGCUGUCAAGGUAAGUACUCUGUUUUUUCAGAAUAAUGCAAAUUCUCUGUAACUUUUUUUUUUUUUUUAAUAGGUUCUCUAUUAACCUUAGCUACAGCCCUGAAUAUUCAGUACGUCUGCAAAUACUAACCCAGGUGUUUUGAGUUGAAAUAACUAAUGAUGAAGAGCUAGAGUCACAAAGCUAACUCAAAGAGCUAGAUUUACAAAAGGAUUAAGAUGCCCAGUUCUCAUUCCAGGCACUUACAUUUACCAUUUGAAAAUAACCAGCAACAAUCCCUGCUUAGUUCAUUGCUUAGUUUGAACCAUGUACCUUUGCAGUGAAAUUCCUCAAAGCUUCUUUUAGGCUUACAGACCGGCAUGGAGACGGUAGGCUUUUUGGAUGGAAGUGGGAACUUCCUUAAAUUUUCAUUAUUAUUCAGAAAGAUCCUCUACAAGAGAAGAACAGUCAACUCGUGGCACAACUU